ACGCUUUUCGUUAUCCUACAAAUGUAUUAUAGGCUGUGUUUUAUUCUCUUAAACUUAAUGUUAUUAGUAGGGAGUAGACAUAUAAUCCACAGCAGAUUUGAUUCUUGGUUAUUUAUUCAUGUUAAGACUUUAGUUUUCUUCUGUAACCUUCAAUUGAAAUGUUAAUUCUCCAUGUUUACUUCUCAUGUUUUCGGUAAUAAUAUUCAUCCAGAGAAAAUAUAGAAAUCUUUCUUCAUGGGGAAUUUUAUAUCCUAUGAGGAAGUAAAGAAAUGUAUCCUUCAGAAGGAGUUUUGACAUAUUUCCAGAUUAUGAUCCUUAUUUGUUAUAUAUUAUUAUUCCCACUGUUGGGCCUUGCUGGUUUAUGUCUACUGGACCAGUGUCCAGUGGACAUAAGGCAGUUUGUGCCUUAGCUAUAGUUCUGGCAUAGAACUGCGGUAUGGGUCAGGCUGGAAGGUGAGCAGAUUAAAGUGACGUCGGGGCUGCGUUUGGAGCCUUGGCCCAGUCAGCUGGCUAAUCAGAUGGGUAAUCUGUAAACACAUUAAACACCAACAACCAAGAAAAGCAUGGCACUCCACCCACACGUCCCAGACACACAAGACGACGUUAUCCACUCACCACGGGCAAAGGUCAUUCUCACAGUCCAAGGUAGGAAUAGAAAAAAAUAGGACUGACUCUGAAUGAGCAGGGUACAUCACUCACCCAGUAACUAUUUAAGUUAUAUAUUAGUUAAGAGAACUACUAGUGAUAAUGUCACAAAUUUCUUUCAAUGGAUCGAAACUAUAUUUUAAAAGAGCCUUGAGUCAUUCACGUGUUGACCAGCUCAGUCCGCCACAUCCUGUGAAUUCUUAAUCAAGGAACCUGCGCACGGUUACCCUCUCACCAACUCUGGCACCGUUUCUUUAUGUGCAGCCCUGCAUGCUCUGUACCUCACUGCACUUCUCACCAGCUCAGCUUUUUGGAUGCCUCAGAGGAGUAACUCUGAUAGGAAAUCUUUAACAUCCCGUUCUGUCUUGGUCAUGCUACACCAUGGUAUUAAAGGCAAGAAAAAAAUUAAUGCUCACCCCAGCUUAAAAACAUUCAAUGAAUACAUUAUUAGUUUGUCCGUUUUAAAUCAACAGGUCAGCUGUCAUUCCUACAAAUUUCCUUAACUGCAGUAGACAUAGGUCUCAUCGCACAGGGUUAAUACCAAAUACUUAGAGCUGCGGUAGGCUAACAGCUAGUCAUAAAUCCUCCUGAAAUCUACAGUCAUCUCCUUUGUUUAGUUCACAUUUAAAAUCAGAGGAUGGUGUCCACACCAUGCCACAAAGCAUUCAACCAGCCUGCUGUAAUUGGUUUCUUGACCAUCUCUGAUACACCCAACUGGAGAGUUAUCUGCAGAUAACAGGAGUCUGUCUUGUACUAGAAGUCUGAGGUAUAGUGAAAAGGAAUGGUGUGAAUACAGUUCCCUGCGGUGCUCCUGAAGCACAAAUCCUUAGUCUUAUAAACUGGUCAGGUAGUCUUUGAUCCAGGUAAUUACUGAGGCCUCCGCCUGUUUCCUCAAGAGUUUCUGACAAAGCCAAUUAGAGUGAGGCUGAAUUGUGUUAAAUGCACCCCAGACAUCACAAAACAUGAUCAUCACAGCGCUGUCCUUGUCCAGAUGAUAGAUGGUUUGUUGAAGCAGGUGUUUGAUGGAGUUUUCAACUCUACUGGCAUGAUGAUAGGUGAACUGAAGGAGGUCCUGAUCUGUAAUUGUUUGCUUACUCAGGUGGGCCAACAGGAGUCUCUCUAGGACCUGUGUGAUGUGGGAUGUCAGGGCAACAGGUGAAGGUUGAAGAAAUGCUGCAGAGUCCCAAAGAGCUGCUCUGCACAGGCCUUCAGGUCUCUGGACCCAAGACCCGUGAAGUCCUUCAUCCCUGACCACACAUCUCUGAUAUUGUUCUGCUGAAGCUCUCUAAUCUAGACUUUAAGUUGGUUAAAAACAAAAAACAAACA